GCAGGAGGUGACCGACCGCCCGCGCGCGGGAGACCGCUGCACGGGAGGAAAGUCCGGACUCCAGAGGGCGGGAUGCCCCGUGGUUAACGCGGGGAAGGCGCUGCCAUAUCGGCGCCGAUGGAAAGUGCCACAGAGACAUACCGCCGACGGCUUCGGCCGUCGGUAAGGGUGAAAAGGCGGUGUAAGAGACCACCGGGCGGUUGCGUAAGCGCCGUCGCCAGGCAAACCCCAUCCGGAGCAAGACCAAAUAGGGAGUUUCAGGCGCUGCCCGCGCCGCCCGGCUUCGGCCGGAAGACUCCGGGUUGGUCGCAUAGUCGAAUGGUCGGGUGGACGCCGCAAGGUAUCCAACAGAAUCCGGCUUAUGAUCCUCCUGCGGGC
rnacentral:RNase_P_RNA from 1 species